AGACCAUGGUGUGGACAGCCUCUUAAAAAAUCCUUGAACUACUCCCAAUAGUCAUACGAGAUUUCAUUCUUCUGUUGAAGAAAACUUGUUAUAUCAUUCCUCAGCUU
rfam:Ricinus communis cultivar Hale ctg_1100012355946, whole genome shotgun sequence.